rnacentral:lncRNA from 1 species
UAGUGACAUCUAAACGGCCGUCUGGCGUAAAGAUCGAAUUCUGUAGACCAAAAAUCAUUCAUUAUGUACCAAAAACCGUCAGUGGUGGUUACAUAGACAUUUGCCACCCGCCUUGGCCAAAAGUCAUGCUUUUUGCCGGAUUUUGGUCCGAUCGAGCAAAUUUUGCAUCAGAUUUGACAUGGUUUAGACGAUGAAAACCACCACCAAUAUCAUAAAGUCAGCUUGAGUUUGCUUUGCGGGAAUAACAUUCCUCGGGAACACAUUACACGUCCGGGAUGAUCAAUUCCACGGCGCUGUCAAG